CCGCGUCCCCAGGUCAGGCGAGACCACCCGCUGAGCUUAAGCAUAUCAAUAAGCGGAGGAAAAGAAACUUACGAGGAUUCCCCUAGUAACGGCGAGCGAACCGGGAACAGCCCAGCAUGAAAAUCGGGCGGCGCCGUCGUCCGA
rnacentral:rRNA from 1 species